UGGGGAAUAUUGGACAAUGGGGGAAACCCUGAUCCAGCAAUGCCGCGUGAGUGAUGAAGGCCUUCGGGUUGUAAAGCUCUUUUAUCGGGGACGAUGAUGACGGUACCCGAUGAAUAAGCUCCGGCUAACUUCGUGCCAGCAGCCGCGGUAAUACGAGGGGAGCUAGCGUUGUUCGGAAUUACUGGGCGUAAAGGGCGCGUAGGCGGUACUAUAAGUCAGAUGUGAAAGCCCCGGGCUCAACCUGGGAAUUGCAUUUGAAACUGGAAAACUAGAGUGUGUGAGAGGGGGGUAGAAUUCCAAGUGUAGCGGUGAAAUGCGUAGAGAUUUGGAGGAAUACCAGUGGCGAAGGCGGCCCCCUGGCACAACACUGACGCUCAGGUGCGAAAGCGUGGGGAGCAAACAGGAUUAGAUACCCAGGUAGUCCCUGAGCGGGCUGGCAAGGCGCAU
rnacentral:rRNA from 1 species